rnacentral:rRNA from 1 species
GAUGAACGCUGGCGGCGUGCCUAAUACAUGCAAGUCGAGCGAACAGACGAGGAGCUUGCUCCUCUGACGUUAGCGGCGGACGGGUGAGUAACACGUGGAUAACCUACCUAUAAGACUGGGAUAACUUCGGGAAACCGGAGCUAAUACCGGAUAAUAUAUUGAACCGCAUGGUUCAAUAGUGAAAGACGGUUUUGCUGUCACUUAUAGAUGGAUCCGCGCCGCAUUAGCUAGUUGGUAAGGUAACGGCUUACCAAGGCAACGAUGCGUAGCCGACCUGAGAGGGUGAUCGGCCACACUGGAACUGAGACACGGUCCAGACUCCUACGGGAGGCAGCAUUAGGGAAUCUUGCGCAAUGGGCGAAAGCCUGACGGAGCAACGCCGCGUGAGUGAUGAAGGUCUUCGGAUCGUAAAACUCUGUUAUUAGGGAAGAACAAAUGUGUAAGUAACUAUGCACGUCUUGACGGUACCUAAUCAGAAAGCCACGGCUAACUACGUG